rnacentral:misc_RNA from 1 species
UAAUCUCACUACAACCGCCUUUUGCUGUUGUAUGUGGACUUGGGUGUUGCCGUGUAACAAAUGGCUCAUCUGAAAUGCCUGAGUAUACCCUGCUUUGCGGCGUAUUCGGUGUGAUAAAUCUUCACCGGAGUUGACCCUCAGGUCACGUCUGCUUGACAUGGCUCUAUGCUUCCAACCGUCCUGACAAGACAAUCUUUGACA